GGAUGGAUGUCUGAGCGGUUGAAAGAGUCGGUCUUGAAAACCGAAGUAUUGAUAGGAAUACGGGGGGUUCGAAUCCCUCUCCAUCCG
rnacentral:tRNA from 1 species